GGUUUUAAUUUUGAAGCUACUGACAGUAGCUCUCCUCUCAAACCCAGUCAGUAAACAUAGACGGACUGGAAGAAGCUUGAGAACCGCCAGUGUAAAAUAAAAACCGUUUAAGACAUUUAAAGUAGUAGUACAUGAUAAACUUCUCCUAAAAUUAAAAUCCUAUGGCAUUUCAGGACCCUUACACAACUGGAUAUCUGCUUUUCUGUCGAACAGACAACAAGUGGUUAAGAAAUGUUCUGGAUGCCAUUCUGGAGAACUGUAGUAACAGCCUGUGAUGAGAUAAUCCCUUUCCUGCCAGAUCCUGAAGAUGAAACUCAAAUACUUUGGCCACCUAAUGAGGAGGAAGGACUCACUGGAGAAGAGCCUAAUGCUGGGAACGACUGAGGGCAAAAGAAGAAGGGGACGGCAGCGAAUGAGGUGGCUGGAUGGAGUCACUGAAGCAGUCAGCAGCAUGAGCUUAAAUGGACCCCAGAGGAUGGUAGAGGACAGGAGGCCUGGAGGAACGUUGUCCGUGAGGUUGCGAAGGGUUGGACACAACUUCCCAACUAACAAGUAGUUUGUGUCUUUAGUUCAAAUGAACUCCCAAAUUCCAACUGCCCUUUUAAAUACUAGGAUGAUAUGAAUAUAUUUUCAUUAACUGUCUGGGAGCAUUUCAGAAUCAUCUGAUUCAUCAGUGAAAACAAAAUGUUAGAUCAUGAAAGGCCUCGGCUUGAUCCCUCAGGGCUGUUACUUAUCAAGCACAAUGUUUUUAAAGAAGCAAUAGCUUAUGUGUUCAUCAAUAUAGAUGUAACUCAAUACUUAUAUAAAUUGGGAUCUAGCUUUGGACUCAGAGUAGACCAACUUAGAACUGUGGAACUACUGAAUUAAACAACUAUAUUUAAUUUGUAACAGAGGAAUUGUGCUUCAUGCACAAUUUAAUUUGAAAAUUAUGAAAAUAAGAAAAAUAUUAGCAACUUUUAUAUAAAGUUGGUAAUAUUUUAUAGAAAGUAUAACACAAACAGAAAACAUUUAAUUACAAAAGCCAAUAAAACAAAAAGGUUUUGAGAUUUUUUUAAAAAUACAUAUACUAAAAUUAGACAUAAAUUUAUAUUUUUUUAUUUGAACUUUUUGGUAUCUGCCUGAUAUAUUCUCAGUAAAAAUAAUCAGGAAAGGCUAUAAGCUGCAGAAUAUUAAGGGCACAGAUAGAUUCUGGAAACUAGCAUAAAUUAUUCCAAAUAUCAGAAAUAUUGCUAGAUUUACAUACGUAAAAUAAAUUUAUAUUUUGAUAAAUCUUUUUGGAGCAAAAUUGUUUUAUGAUUUAGAAGAGAAGAUAGUGUUGUCUGUUGAUAAAUAUCUGCCAAACAUGAUAGAUGAAGAAUAUUAU